UAUAUAUAUUUCCACACUUGUAUAUAACUUUUAUAAAUAAAUAAAUUAAUAAUUUUUUUAUUUCAUACAGGCUGUUGAUGCCAAAACAAUUCGUGAAGUUUGUACUAAAUAUAUCUAUGAUAGAUGUCCUGUUGUUGCAGCUGUUGGACCAACCGAAGGACUUACUGACUAUAACAGAAUUCGAUCAGGAAUGUAUUGGAUACGCGUGUAGUAUACUAUUUGAAAGAAAAAUAGUAAUACAUUAAAUUAAAAGUCAGAAUAGUAUGAAAGUUUUAUUACAAAACAGAUAUUUUAUUUAACUUCAGAAAAAGUUAUGUAAGAUGAUCAAAUGUGAAUAAUUAUAAAUAAACUUAUAUUAAAACUUA